GACGAACGCUGGCGGCGUGCUUAACACAUGCAAGUCGAACGGAAAGGCCCUGCUUUUGUGGGGUGCUCGAGUGGCGAACGGGUGAGUAACACGUGAGUAACCUGCCCUUGACAUUGGGAUAUCUUCAGGACACUGGGGCUAAUACCGGAUAGGAGCUACUGCUGCAUGGUGGGGGUUGGAAAGUUUCGGCGGUUGGGGAUGGACUCGCGGCUUAUCAGCUUGUUGGUGGGGUAGUGGCUUACCAAGGCUUUGACGGGUAGCCGGCCUGAGAGGGGGACCGGCCACAUUGGGACUGAGGUACGGCCCAGACUCCUACGGGAGGCAGCAGUGGGGAAGAUUGCACAAUGGGCGGAAGCCGGAUGCAGCAGCGCUGCGUGCGGGAUGACGGCCGUCGAGUGGUAAACCGCUUUCGCCUGUGACGAAGCGGGAGUGACGGUAAUUGGUAAAGAAGCACCGGCUAACUACGUG
rnacentral:rRNA from 1 species